CGGAAUUGACACCCUCAUGGGCUUGGGAGAGCCCGAUUGUCCUGCGGAGACGUUUACUGCCGGAUACUCGAUGGUCGGUUGCUUCGUGUGUCUGGCGACACUCUCGAUGGAGGACAUUGAACAACAUCUACCAAUUUGUAACCAUGAUAACAGAGUUCUGGCUGAUUGGAGUUGGCUCGGACCUGGCUUAUCGAAGAACAAGAAGCAGCUACAGCUGUUCAAAAUCCCACAAGGCUGGUCAACAUGAUAGACAAUGGGCAGGGAUGUGGGUACUCAGACUGUGUUUAUUGAACGCAACACGGAUAAGAUCUUGGCUCUACUAUAUGGAUAACAUCUUUUUGAAGAACAACGGGAAUUGAGAGACCUGGUGACCAGUGACGGACAUUAGACUACUGUAAAAUUGGAAGCAGUUUGUUUGUUCCCACUAACCAAAACAACUACCAUCUUCAUCUCAUGUGCCACCCCCCACCCCCGCGGCAGCUGGAUGCUCAAGGCAAAAGCUGACGGGAAUAACAAUUCUCCCUUAGAUAAUACGACUGUUUGUUAUGACUCUCCCCCUCCUCAUUCAAGGCCAUCACAGUCCUGUACAAAUGAUAAACACCUUAAUAAUUUUGUUGAGAAUUAUCGCUGACAAAAAAAAUGACUUUAUUAUUUAAUGAUACCUGAAUCUGCUAAGAAAGAGAAAUGGUGAAAUGUAAAGUUUCUGAUGGUUUCUGACCAACAGUGUGAAAUCAUAUUCAUUCAAAAACAAAGUGCUCUUAAUGUGAAAAUCUGCUUCCUCCACCCUCCCACCUGUGCUGCAUUUCAGGUGGAGUCCCGCCUCCUUCCAGGAAGCAGCUCACCUGUGUGUCUGUGUUUAGUGUCCAGGUGUGGAGUGGAGCUUGUUGGUGGUGUGUGAAGAAACUGCGGCAGCGUUACGGUUGCCAUGGUUACAGGGCGACGCUUCAAUCAAGUCAGCUGUGGGCACGCACUGCAAACAUUUAGGAUCUUAGCAUAGCUGGGAAUCGGCGCCAUGCAUGACCUGCAACUUUGGUUUAUUGAUUAAAAUGUUACCCAAAUCAGUUCAGUUGUUUUAUACAGUGCCAAAUCACAACAACAGUCAUGUCAAGAUGCUUUAAACUGUAAGUAAGUUACUACAAUAAUACAUACAGAGAAAAACCCAACAAUCAAAUGAUCCCACUAUAAGCUAGCACUUUGGCGACAAUGGGAAGGAAAAACUCCCUUUUCACAGGAAGAACCCUCUGGCAGAAACCUUCGCCACUUGUGCAGCUCUCUGGUAUAAUUUUACACUUGGGGCUAUUGUCACUUGUAAUGAUAUUUUUACUUUUUUGUGUCUUGAUUUUGUUUCUGCUGCUAGAAUUUACAACAGGGGCACGUAGUUGGACAUUAAAGACUCAAUGGACAGCUACUUUGAGAGCUGGGACAGUUACAGGAAAACUUCUCCAUUUGUGUGUUCCUCACCUGAGUGAACGCUACUGUAAAUACCGGUGGGAAUAAAUCCAAAGAAAAGGAAAAGAGGAACCAGGGCUGGUGUCCAGAUGAGACUG
ensembl:lncRNA